GACGGAGGGUGCUAGCGUUGUUCGGAUUUACUGGGCGUAAAGGGCGCGUAGGCGGCCAGCACAAGUCAGUUGUGAAAUCUCCGAGCUUAACUCGGAAAGGUCAACUGAUACUGUGCGGCUAGAGUGCGGAAGGGGCAACUGGAAUUCUUGGUGUAGCGGUGAAAUGCGUAGAUAUCAAGAGGAACACCUGCGGCGAAGGCGGGUUGCUGGGCCGACACUGACGCUGAGGCGCGAAAGCCAGGGGAGCGAACGGG
rnacentral:rRNA from 1 species